UACGUAGGGGGCAAGCGUUGUUCGGAAUUAUUGGGCGUAAAGGGCGCGUAGGCGGCCGUUUGCGUCGGAUGUGAAAGCCCGGGGCUCAACCUCGGAACGGCAUUCGAUACGGGACGGCUAGAGACCGGGAGAGGAGAGUGGAAUAGCCAGUGUAGAGGUGAAAUUCGUAGAUAUUGGCUGGAACACCGGUGGCGAAAGCGGCUCUCUGGCCCGGUUCUGACGCUGAGGCGCGAAAGCGUGGGGAGCAAACAGG
rnacentral:rRNA from 1 species